rnacentral:lncRNA from 1 species
UCAUAUUACUUUUAUAUAUUCCAAGCUUUCUUAGAACUUUUCUUACCAUAAACUAGACUAGUGUUAGUUAUUGUUAAGUCAAAUUCUGUCACUAAUUUUUAAUAUGUCACUUUCGCUACUGGGAGUUCAUAGUUGAGAAGUAGAAUCUCCAUUAUGUUAGUUUCUAAUAACAAUUGAGAAUCGUUCAAUGAUAUUUCGAGUUACCAUUCGAUCUGAUUCAUUACCAUUUUGACCAUCAACAGUCCUUUAAAAAUAAAUAUCACUACCCACCAGAACUGUGGCAAAUUCAAAGGGAAACAUUACAUGUGUACAAAUCUUCAAUUAAUACGCUAACCACCAGCAUAUUUUCCCACUGGUACUUCUAUACAGAGCUGUUCAGAGAAAAGCUCUAAAGCAACACAAAAAUAAAACCACAUACACAUCCUAUCUCUUUCAUUUUUUUCUUGCUCUUCUUUUUUUUCGUUUUCCAAUUUCUUCUUUUGUCUUUGUGAAAGAAUUGUAUGUUCCUAGAAUUUCCUAAUGGAAAUAACCUUCUGACCAACCAUUUUAGAUGAAUCAAUUUUGGUGAUGCAUUCCCUAUCAGCCAAACUGUAGCAGCAUGUUUGAUUUUCCACAAGCAUGUCCAGUUCUAGCAAAAAGUUAUAAUUUACACCCUGAAAAUUGAAAAUAUUUACCAGAAGAUUGAUCAGAAAUCUGUGUACGAUUGAACUGCACAUGAUAUAUAUAUUUUUAUGUCGCAAGCAUCAAUUCCCAACAGAAACACAUGUUGAUUUUAAUUAGAAUCAAGAUGCAUGAUAAAAACAUAAAAUGAUUUGAUUAUUAUAUUAUUGUUGUUGUUCAUGUUGUUGUUACUAUGGAUUUUAUCAUUAUCAUUGUUUUUGUUGGUAUAUGAACAAAAGAUAUAAUACUGAUUUGUUCAUACAGCUACCGAUAAAUACAUGUAUACUCAAAAACAGAAAUACUCACUUGGGCUCCUGCAAGGAGAUGACAGUUUCAAAGGCACCAGCCAGUGCUCUUACUCUGUUCUUUCUUUGCUCUCGAAGCUU